rnacentral:rRNA from 1 species
GACGAACGCUGGCGGCGUGCUUAACACAUGCAAGUCGAACGAAGUGGCGAACGGGUGAGUAACGCGUAAUCAACCUGCCCUUCAGAGGGGGACAACAGUUGGAAACGACUGCUAAUACCGCAUACUGCAGGAGGGGAUUGCGUUUGUUGAGCUAGUUGGAGGGGUAACGGCCCACCAAGGCGAUGAUCAGUAGCCGGUCUGAGAGGAUGAACGGCCACAUUGGGACUGAGACACGGCCCAGACUCCUACGGGAGGCAGCAGUGGGGAAUAUUGCACAAUGGGCGCAAGCCUGAUGCAGCCAGGCCGCGUGUGUGAAGAAGGCCUUCGGGUUGUAAAGCACUGUCAGCGGGGAGCGGUACCCGCAGAAGAAGCACCGGCUAACUCCGUGCCAGCAGCCGCGGUAAUAC